rnacentral:rRNA from 1 species
UACGUAGGGGGCAAGCGUUAUCCGGAUUUACUGGGUGUAAAGGGAGCGUAGUCGGCUCUGCAAGUCUGGAGUGAAAGCCCGGGGCUCAACCCCGGGACUGCUUUGGAAACUGUGGAGCUAGAGUGCAGGAGAGGUAAGUGGAAUUCCUAGUGUAGCGGUGAAAUGCGUAGAUAUUAGGAGGAACACCAGUGGCGAAGGCGGCUUACUGGACUGUAACUGACGUUGAGGCUCGAAAGCGUGGGGAGCAAACAGG